UACGGGAGGCAGCAGUGGGGAAUAUUGCACAAUGGGCGAAAGCCUGAUGCAGCUAUGCCGCGUGUAUGAAGAAGGCCUUAGGGUUGUAAAGUACUUUCAUCGGGGAGGAAAAACAAACUAAUAAUUUUAUUUCUUGACGUUACCCGAAAAAGAAGCACCGGCUAACUCCGUGCCAGCAGCCACGGUAAUACGGAGGGUGCUAGCGUUAAUCAGAAUUACUGGGCGUAAAGAGCACGUAGGUGGUUUUUUUAAGUCAGAUGUGAAAUCCCUGGGCUUAACCUGGAACUGCAUUUUGAAACUGAAAUACUAGAGUAUCGUAGAGGGAGGUAGAAUUCUAGGUGUAGCGGUGAAAUGCGUAGAUAUCUGGAGGAAUACCUGUGGCGAAAGCGGCCUCUAAACGAAUACUGACACUGAGGUGCGAAAGCGUGGGGAGCAAACAGGGAUUAGAUACCCGU
rnacentral:rRNA from 1 species